rnacentral:lncRNA from 1 species
UGAAACUCAGAUGUUAGAAUACAGGUUAUUGAAAUGAAAAUGAAUUGAAAUGCAACUUGUUAAAGUGAAAUGAAACCUUGUUUGGACUAAUAUUUAAAGGUUUACUUAUGCAGGGUAAUUUCAACUGGUUGAUUGUGGAGUUGUAGUGGUUGUCAUGUGGAAUUUGGCUUGGUGAGGUGCAGUGAGAACCAAUUGAGUGUGGAUUUCUCAGAAGGGAAUUCAGACUGCUUGGACCGGUUUUAUUCUGUAAAUGUGAAUUGUUAUGGAAUUUUGAAUUGUAAGAAUUUGUUUAUUGAAUGUUGAAUGGUUGGAUUAUGGAAAAUUGAAUAUUAUUAUGAAUGUUAAUUUGAAAUUAACUUUGAAUGUUAAAUGGAAAUGGACUUAAAUAA